rnacentral:rRNA from 1 species
GCAACCGCGGUUAGACCACACACCCCCAGUCAAUGUAAUGGCGGCAGAAAAGAUGGUUAAUCAUAGUUUUAAUUUUGGUGGCAGCCUAGUGAGGGGCUUACAAGUUGGGUGUAAUCAAGUAAGUCAAUAUCAGCUUUGCAGAGAUAGGCAGGAGAAGAUGAAGUCCAUGUGACCUAGGUCAGCGGACCAGGAUUUGAUACCCUGUUACUCUAGGUGUUAAGUACGGACCAGUUUAGUGGUUCUGCCGGGCAACUACGUUCUAACGAGUAAAAGUCGAAGUACCUGGCGGUUUAAGAUAUCUCGUCUCGUGAGACUUGACGGUUAAUCCGAUAAUCCGCGUUACACCGUACCUGCCUUUGUGUUGAGUAUCAGUUGGUGUAUGGUCGUUGUCAGCUCUUACUGAUGAGGUAUUAAGGAAUGUGGCAUGGUUCGUUUGGAUCCCUGAAAUUUUUUGGGUGAAAUGCAAAUAGCAGAAUAUAAAACGAAGGAAGUCAGAUCGUUAUGCCGCCCAUGGGCGGGGCUUAGUUGAGUCACAUUGAUUAGAUCGGCGGAAGCUUUUUUGAAAUAAAGAGCGAAAGAAGGAAUGAGUAGUAAUGAAAAAUUAGUACGUUUUCAUGAAUGGUAAAUUCUUAAGUGUACAAAUCGCCCGUCGCCUCCGGGGAGACUUGGAGAAAGUCGUAACAUAGUAGGAAUACGGGAACGUGUGUCCU